GACAGAGGGUGCAAACGUUGUUCGGAAUUACUGGGCGUAAAGCGCGUGUAGGCGGUUCGGAAAGUCGGGUGUGAAAUCCCUGGGCUCAACCCAGGAACUGCGUCCGAUACUGGAAGGCUUGAAUCCGGGAGAGGGAUGCGGAAUUCCAGGUGUAGCGGUGAAAUGCGUAGAUAUCUGGAGGAACACCGGUGGCGAAGGCGGCAUCCUGGACCGGUAUUGACGCUGAGGCGCGAAAGCCAGGGGAGCGAACGGG
rnacentral:rRNA from 1 species